rnacentral:tRNA from 1 species
GCUUAAAUAGUUUAUUAAAAAUAUCAAUUUGUGGAAUUGAAGAUAUAAGUAUUUAUUUUAGGUA